GCUUUAUAGCAUAAAUAUUGAUUGAUGCUGAUUUUCAGUAGAUAUUUUUAUUAACAUUUGAAAGAAAACACUGGAUGGUUUUUUUCCCCUAGGGUAGACUUUGGCACUUAUUACAGGCUACAGUUGCCAGGCCCAUUGUGACAUCAUAAAUAAUGUACAACUGUUAAAUCCAAAUGUUUGGGGCUAUGUAAGAUAGCAGAUGUAACAAGAGGUAACGUGUAAAGUGGGCCUUCAUCACUGGUAUUCAUGUGAGAAGGACAGAGGGUGGAUGUGAACAAGGGUCUCCUGCUUGUCAAAAGACUGCCUUAGUGCACUCUGCCAGUCUUCAGGACUAAAUGGUUAUGCUGAGCACAUGGGGCCCGAUUCAAAGUUGAGAUAAGUAGACUUAACAUGGACUCAAAACAUGGACUUAAGUUCAUCUUAGAUCAACUUCCCACUUGGUACACACUGUUUUAAUCAAUGUUGUUUUCACGUCAUUUCAAUGAAAUGACAUUAAACCAGUGUUUAAUAGACAUCUGUGCCCAGUGGGUUAUCUUAAGUCUGAAUAGGCCCUCUAGAUAAUACUUCAUUUUUUCUGUGCUUUGCUUAUUAAAAACAGGAGGAGACAGAGAAGGAGUGAAAGUUGGAAAGGUGGAAGUGGGAAAUAAACCAUGAACUGCUGGGGCAGUAAGAUGGGAGUCGUUUCUUUGGAAUUUGACCCACUCAACCACACAGCCAGGAACCAUGUGAGGAACUUGGGCCCCAAUAUCAGAAGCAAAAUCUGUACUUUGAACAAUGUGCUGCCGUACUGUUCAGAAUUCACCUGGUCUGCAGCCUGGAGGUGGAGAGAAGGCAUUCGUGAUUACACGUCUUUUGCUUUUAACCCAACCCCCCACAUACAUGCCUGAGGGGUUGGAAGCCAGGGUCAGUCACGGUGCAGUAACCAUGGAGCAGAUUUGGGGGUUAAGUGCCAACCGUCCGGUUUCUGGCCCGCCUCUCUAGGCUACCUGCUGCCCAAGUGUCAGUCAUCCGUCUCUUGCCAGUCCAUGGUGAAGGAGCUGCCGGUGGUGCUGUUGUGACUGUUGUCAUCGCUGUUGUGACUGUUGUCAGCGCCUUGGGUAGGGCAGUCUGUUCCAUGGCCCUGCGGCUGGUUCUCCUUACCGACACGCUCCACAUGUCAAUCAACUGGGAACACAUGGCACAGCCCAUGGUGGCUUUAUGGAGAGAGACAAACACACACGGUGGACUUGACACACAGUGGAGGUUAGAUGCUGAUAUAUACACACACACGUUAUGUCAAGUGAUGUCACUCAUUCACAGACACACACAGGUAACCAUUAGAUACGUGAUGUGACACGCACACUUCUUGCACACUGGCAUAGUCUGACUCAGGCCUCGAGAGAGCGAGCGUGGACUCAGGCCUCCAGUGAGAGAGCGAGCGUGGACUCAGGCCUCCAGUGAGAGAGCGAGCGUGGACUCAGGCCUCCAGUGAGAGAGCGAGCGUGGACUCAGGCCUCGAGUGAGAGAGCGAGCGUGGACUCAGGCCUCCAGUGAGAGAGCGAGCGUGGACUCAGGCCUCCAGUGAGAGAGCGAGCGUGGACUCAGGCCUCCAGUGAGAGAGCGAGAGAGCGAGCGAGCGUGGACUCAGGCCUCCAGUGAGAGAGCGAGAGAGCGAGCGAGCGUGGACUCAGGCCUCCAGUGAGUGAGCGAGAGAGCGAGCGAGCGUGGACUCAGGCCUCCAGUGAGUGAGCGAGAGAGCGAGCGAGCGUGGACUCAGGCCUCCAGUGAGUGAGCGAGAGAGCGAGCGAGCGUGGACUCAGGCCUCCAGUGAGUGAGCGAGAGAGCGAGCGAGCGUGGACUCAGGCCUCCAGUGAGUGAGCGAGAGAGCGAGCGAGCGUGGACUCAGGCCUCCAGUGAGUGAGCGAGAGAGCGAGCGAGCGUGGACUCAGGCCUCCAGUGAGUGAGCGAGAGAGCGAGCGAGCGUGGACUCAGGCCUCCAGUGAGUGAGCGAGCGAGCGAGCGUGGACUCAGGCCUCCAGUGAGUGAGCGAGCGAGCGAGCGUGGACUCAGGCCUCCAGUGAGUGAGCGAGCGAGCGAGCGUGGACUCAGGCCUCCAGUGAGUGAGCGAGCGAGCGUGGACUCAGGCCUCCAGUGAGUGAGCGAGAGAGCGAGCGAGCGUGGACUCAGGCCUCCAGUGAGUGAGCGAGAGAGCGAGCGAGCGUGGACUCAGGCCUCCAGUGAGUGAGCGAGAGAGCGAGCGAGCGAGCGUGGACUCAGACCUCCAGUGAGUGAGCGAGAGAGCGAGCGAGCGAGCGUGGACUCAGGCCUCCAGUGAGUGAGCGAGAGAGCGAGCGUGGACUCAGGCCUCCAGUGAGUGAGCGAGAGAGCGAGCGAGCGAGCGUGGACUCAGGCCUCCAGUGAGCGAGCGAGCGUGGACUCAGGCCUCCAGUGAGUGAGCGAGAGAGCGAGCGAGCGUGGACUCAGGCCUCCAGUGAGUGAGCGAGAGAGCGAGCGAGCGUGGACUCAGGCCUCCAGUGAGUGAGCGAGAGAGCGAGCGUGGACUCAGGCCUCCAGUGAGUGAGCGAGCGAGCGAGCGUGGACUCAGGCCUCCAGUGAGUGAGCGAGAGAGCGAGCGAGCGAGCGAGCGUGGACUCAGGCCUCCAGUGAGUGAGCGAGAGAGCGAGCGAGCGUGGACUCAGGCCUCCAGUGAGUGAGCGAGCGAGAGAGCGAGCGAGCGUGGACUCAGGCCUCCAGUGAGUGAGCGAGAGAGAGCGAGCGAGCGUGGACUCAGGCCUCCAGUGAGUGAGGACGAGAGAGCGAGCGAGCGUGGACUCAGGCCUCCAGUGAGUGAGCGAGAGAGCGAGCGAGCGUGGACUCAGGCCUCCAGUGAGUGAGCGAGAGAGCGAGCGAGCGUGGACUCAGGCCUCCAGUGAGUGAGCGAGAGAGCGAGCGAGCGUGGACUCAGGCCUCCAGUGAGUGAGCGAGAGAGCGAGCGAGCGUGGACUCAGGCCUCCAGUGAGUGAGCGAGAGAGCGAGCGAGCGUGGACUCAGGCCUCCAGUGAGUGAGCGAGAGAGCGAGCGAGCGUGGACUCAGGCCUCCAGUGAGUGAGUGAGUGAGAGAGCGAGCGAGCGUGGACUCAGGCCUCCAGUGAGUGAGCGAGAGAGCGAGCGAGCGUGGACUCAGGCCUCCAGUGAGUGAGUGAGUGAGUGAGUGAGCGAGCGAGCGAGCGUGGACUCAGGCCUCCAGUGAGUGAGUGAGUGAGUGAGUGAGAGAGCGAGCGAGCGUGGACUCAGGCCUCCAGUGAGUGAGUGAGUGAGUGAGUGAGAGAGCGAGCGAGCGUGGACUCAGGCCUCCAGUGAGUGAGUGAGUGAGUGAGAGAGCGAGCGAGCGUGGACUCAGGCCUCGAGUGAGUGAGUGAGUGAGAGAGAGAGCGAGCGAGCGAGCACUCAGGCCUCCAGUGAGUGAGUGAGUGAGAGAGCGAGCGAGCGUGGACUCAGGCCUCCAGUGAGUGAGUGAGUGAGUGAGAGAGCGAGCGAGCGUGGACUCAGGCCUCCAGUGAGUGAGCGAGCGAGCGAGCGUGGACUCAGGCCUCCAGUGAGCGAGCGAGCGUGGACUCAGGCCUCCAGUGAGCGAGCGAGCGUGGACUCAGGCCUCCAGUGAGCGAGCGAGCGUGGACUCAGGCCUCCAGUGAGCGAGCGAGCGUGGACUCAGGCCUCCAGUGAGCGAGCGAGCGUGGACUCAGGCCUCCAGUGAGCGAGCGAGCGUGGACUCAGGCCUCCAGUGAGCGAGCGAGCGUGGACUCAGGCCUCCAGUGAGCGAGCGAGCGUGGACUCAGGCCUCCAGUGAGUGAGCGAGCGAGCGAGCGUGGACUCAGGCCUCCAGUGAGUGAGAGAGCGAGCGAGCGUGGACUCAGGCCUCCAGUGAGUGAGAGAGCGAGCGAGCGUGGACUCAGGCCUCCAGUGAGUGAGAGAGCGAGCGAGCGUGGACUCAGGCCUCCAGUGAGUGAGAGAGCGAGCGAGCGUGGACUCAGGCAUCCAGUGAGUGAGUGAGUGAGCGAGCGAGCGUGGACUCAGGCCUCCAGUGAGUGAGUGAGUGAGCGAGCGAGCGUGGACUCAGGCCUCCAGUGAGUGAGUGAGAGAGCGAGCGAGCGUGGACUCAGGCCUCCAGUGAGUGAGUGAGAGAGCGAGCGAGCGAGCGAGCGUGGACUCAGGCCUCCAGUGAGUGAGUGAGUGAGAGAGCGAGCGAGCGUGGACUCAGGCCUCCAGUGAGUGAGUGAGUGAGUGAGCGAGCGAGCGUGGACUCAGGCCUCCAGUGAGUGAGUGAGUGAGAGAGCGAGCGAGCGUGGACUCAGGCCUCCAGUGAGUGAGUGAGUGAGAGAGCGAGCGAGCGUGGACUCAGGCCUCCAGUGAGUGAGUGAGUGAGAGAGCGAGCGAGCGUGGACUCAGGCCUCCAGUGAGUGAGUGAGUGAGAGAGCGAGCGAGCGUGGACUCAGGCCUCCAGUGAGUGAGUGAGUGAGAGAGCGAGCGAGCGUGGACUCAGGCCUCCAGUGAGUGAGUGAGAGAGCGAGCGUGGACUCAGGCCUCCAGUGAGUGAGUGAGAGAGCGAGCGAGCGUGGACUCAGGCCUCCAGUGAGAGAGCGAGCGAGCGAGCGUGGACUCAGGCCUCCAGUGAGUGAGUGAGUGAGAGAGCGAGCGUGGACUCAGGCCUCCAGUGAGUGAGUGAGUGAGAGAGCGAGCGAGCGUGGACUCAGGCCUCCAGUGAGUGAGAGAGCGAGCGAGCGUGGACUCAGGCCUCCAGUGAGUGAGAGAGCGAGCGAGCGUGGACUCAGGCCUCCAGUGAGUGAGUGAGUGAGAGAGCGAGCGAGCGUGGACUCAGGCCUCCAGUGAGUGAGUGAGAGAGCGAGCGAGCGUGGACUCAGGCCUCCAGUGAGAGAGCGAGCGAGCGUGGACUCAGGCCUCCAGUGAGUGAGUGAGUGAGAGAGCGAGCGUGGACUCAGGCCUCCAGUGAGUGAGUGAGUGAGCGAGCGAGCGUGGACUCAGGCCUCCAGUGAGUGAGUGAGUGAGAGAGCGAGCGAGCGUGGACUCAGGCCUCCAGUGAGUGAGUGAGUGAGAGAGCGAGCGAGCGUGGACUCAGGCCUCCAGUGAGUGAGUGAGUGAGAGAGCGAGCGAGCGUGGACUCAGGCCUCCAGUGAGUGAGUGAGAGAGCGAGCGAGCGUGGACUCAGGCCUCCAGUGAGUGAGUGAGUGAGAGAGCGAGCGAGCGUGGGCUCAGGCCUCCAGUGAGAGAGAGCGAGCGAGCGUGGACUCAGGCCUCCAGUGAGUGAGAGAGCGAGCGAGCGUGGACUCAGGCCUCCAGUGAGUGAGUGAGAGAGCGAGCGAGCGAGCGUGGACUCAGGCCUCCAGUGAGUGAGUGAGAGAGCGAGCGAGCGAGCGUGGACUCAGGCCUCCAGUGAGAGAGCGAGCGAGCGAGCGUGGACUCAGGCCUCCAGUGAGUGAGAGAGCGAGCGAGCGAGCGUGGACUCAGGCCUCCAGUGAGUGAGAGAGCGAGCGAGCGAGCGUGGACUCAGCCUCCAGUGAGUGAGAGAGCGAGCGAGCGAGCGU
rnacentral:lncRNA from 8 species